rfam:Myotis brandtii contig209565, whole genome shotgun sequence.
CAUGCAUUGGUGGGGUCCCUCAGCCUGGCCUGUGCCCUUUCGCAAUCCGGAACCCCUCCAGGGAUGUUGGACUGCCAGUUUCGGCCCAAUCCCCACGGGCCAGGCUGAGGGACUCCACCGGUGCACA